rnacentral:rRNA from 1 species
GGCAACAGCUCAAAUUUGAAAUCUGGCGCAAGCCCGAGUUGUAAUUUGUAGAGGAUGCUUCUGGGCAGCGGCCGGUCUAAGUUCCUUGGAACAGGACGUCACAGAGGGUGAGAAUCCCGUAUGUGAUCGGUUGGCACCCGCUACGUAGCUCCUUCGACGAGUCGAGUUGUUUGGGAAUGCAGCUCUAAAUGGGAGGUAAAUGCCUUCUAAAGCUAAAUACCGGCCAGAGACCGAUAGCGCACAAGUAGAGUGAUCGAAAGAUGAAAAGCACUUUGGAAAGAGAGUUAAAAAGCACGUGAAAUUGUUGAAAGGGAAGCGCAUGCAACCAGACUUGUCCGCGGUGUUCCGCCGGUCUUCUGACCGGUCUACUCGCCGCGGGCAGGCCAGCAUCAUCUGGGAGCGCCGGAUAAAGGUAGCGGGAAUGUGGCCCCUCGGGGUGUUAUAGCUCGCUACACAAUACGGCGCCUCCCGGGUGAGGUCCGCGCUUCGGCUAGGAUGCUGGCGUAAUGGUUGUAUGCGGCCCGUCUUGAAACACGGACCAAGGAGUCUACCAUCUA